rnacentral:rRNA from 1 species
AUGAAUGUACUAAGUUGGAACUGCUGGGGAGGGGGGAAUACCCGGACAGUUCGUGAGAUAGCGACGCUUGUACAGUCGCAUUCCCCCAGCUUGGUGUUUUUGUGUGAAACUAGGCAAAAGGAGGAGAGGAUGAGGAGGUUGAGAGGACGGUUGGGUCUGAAAGGCUUUGAGUGCGUGGACUGUAAUGGACUAAGUGGAGGUCUAGCAUUAUUC